GUGUAGGGCAAUCUGUCUUAAAGCAGGGAUAAAUUGCUCUAAGAGAAAUGAAUCCUUGAUAAUUUUCCCAUUAAGCAUCUUGU
rnacentral:pre_miRNA from 1 species